rnacentral:tRNA from 1 species
CGAAGUGGCUAAACGCGGCUGACUGUAACUCAGUUCCUUUUGGUUCGGUGGUUCGAAUCCACUCCUCUCCACCA